AGACAACCGAGCAUACGGCGGAAUCAAUUAGAAAGCACUUCAGGAGGCACUUGUGGAACACCAGGUUUCUGGAGAAGCAGCGGGAUUCGGAACAGUUCUUGGCACUUCCUGCAGUCCGGUAAGCAUUUUGAAGCAUCAGUGUACAUAUUACUUGAAAACCCUGUGUUGAACAAAUUGUCAAAGUCACUAACUUCUAACGAUUGUAUGAAAAUGUCACUCACUCACUGGCACUUAAAUCGUCUUUACUUAUAGAUAGUUCACAGUAAUACAUUAGGUACUACUAUGGAACUGCUAUGCGCUAUUCUCUAUCAUACAACAGUGUAUAUUGUUAAUUGAUAACUUCAUUCAAUUUAUUAGCCAUUUAUUACACCCAAGUUAGGACUUUAUUGUCUUUCAAGAGUCCAAACAUGUACAUCUGAUUCAGAUCUAUAUCUAGAUCUGUUUUUGGCAAUGCCUCAUGGGUGAGCCUAAUGGCUGUAAUAGUAUUGUGUGCAGUUUGCAAGACUUCUAGGAAUUGUAUAAGAAUUUGUCCACAGGAAUUUUAAUCGGCUGCUGGGGAAUGAUAACCCAGGAAUUCCAGAUUGUCCCCAUUGAAUCCGAGGAAUGCAAGCUAGGAGUAUCCCAGCCUAAUAAGGAAUGUCACAUUUGUCCACACAUGCACAUUUAUUUGGAGUUAUUCAAUCGGUUUCAAGAUCGAAGCAGUGUCUGGUGGCCUCAUUUGUUGUCUGUGUUAAGUAUGUAUGGGGAAGUUCUCGAUAACUACUUUGGUCCACAGAUGACAGUGUACAGUGUAUUUACAUGUAUAUACAAUGAAACCAUGGAUGCUGUUGGCUCAUGGAUAAUAUAGCAAAGCACAAUUCUAUCAUAAUUUGUCAAGUUGAACUUAUAAUACUUGUAUACUAUUGUUUUUCAGCCUCAAAUUGCGUCCAUCUUGAAACCGUUGAAGUAUACACAGCAGAAGAGGAUGAAGAUAAUUAAUAGCUUACUACAGAAGUUCUGUUUUGAUACAAAUUGAAUUGAUUGGCACAAAUACAUGCUCUACUUUCCUCAGUAGUCCCUGGCAGCAAAUGAAGAACCAUUUGUGGUGUGGCGGACUCGGCACACCACUUGGGCAAUCCUACAAUGGAAAUGGGCAAGCCUGUUCCCAAAAACCAAGGCAGCGUGCAUGAAUCGUAAAAAAAGCCGCCUGAGAUUCCUAAAGUGGGAGCAGAGAAAUAUGCUCAGGUUCAUUGCAGAAAACAAGGAACUGACCCUAAAGGGAAAUGAGAGCUCCAAGAUACACUUAAGUUGAACAGUGCGGCGCAGUAGGCAUCGAGAGUCACCCCCCUCCCCCUAAGUUCAACACUCAGCACGCCCAGGAAGGCCAACCACCCACCCAAGGUAAGAGACUUACUAGCGGUCUUACCAGGAAGGCGCAUGACAGAGUCGUCAGGGAGGUGAGUUGGCCCCAUGAAUACGGUUUUUCCGCCACCACUGCCGUUACUUGCGACUCCCUGACCUACGACCAAUUCGUUGCCAGAGAAAUGUCUAUCAUUCUCAGUCCACACACCCAUUCAAUGGAAAGCCGUAACGGGACACAUUCUGAGGGGACUCAUGCUGGAUGUGCCCACAUACACUUUUCAUGGUAUUAUGAACUUCUUCAAGAUCCUCCUGAUCCAUGUAGAACACGGUUUAGUCACCAUUGAUACUGACACCACACUGGCCGAAGUACACAAACUAAAGGAAGAUCAUCUGCGGCGGCCCUCACUGGAGUUUGACCAUGGUCAUGCACACAACGGUUUCCAGCAGGCGGCACCCACCGAUAGAGGUCCACACAGCACAUACUGCUACAGGUACCAGGCUAAUAACUGCUCCUUUGCCACUGACCACAUCUCAGCGUCAGGCACACUCCACGUACAGUUCUGUGCCAGGAAUAGGCCAGAAGUGGAUGCCGGUCACCCCGCCAAGUUCUGUCCAGUCAACAGAGAUAGGGGAAGACAUGGCGGAGAUUCAGGGAACCGCGACAGUUCCUGACUAGACUCGGCGCACAGCAGGCAUCGGACUUCCCAGGCAACGACCUUGACCGAAUCUACGACCAAAGAGCAACGUUCAAGCCCCGUUCUAGGAGAUCCCUCGUGCAAGCCCUCAAGACUCGUCACGAGAGGUACCCACGCCCGACACUGCUCUGAAGCCUUCACCUGUCUUGACGGCGAGCAGCUACGACCCACAUCGCGCUCCAAUGCCCUCACCAGCCCAGACGGCGAGUCGUGUUCCCCCACAGCCCUCCCCAAGCGGAACAGCAGGCACGUACCAUGGUUCCUCCACCCAAGCCACACAGAGGUCCAGUACCUGCCCCGCAUCUACUGUCCCGAAGCAGGUGACACCCGCGGCGACUGGCUCGCAGUCUCACCAGCCGAGCGCACCGCCCCUCCAACAACCCAGCGGCGCCAAGCACACAGCCCGUGACCUGCACGACAUCAUCUACGCGUCAGGCCAGUACAACUUCCGUGGCUUUCGUAUCCCGUUACAAACCCAACUCAAUAUUCCAGCGUGGCGAUCUUCCUUGGAACAUUAUGUCGAUAAUGGUAUUGUGGUCAUGAAGGUUCAUAACCUACAGUCUUUAUAAUGGCUGAACCUGCUGGGGCAAUUGCUGUAGUAAUUAGAGGUCACCCGAGAUAGGGCAAAAUGGCAGCUGCUGACACUGAUUUAGCCCAGCCUAUUGUAAGCUCCUUGCAAAUCACGCUGCUCCUGGCUCCAAAGAGAUAGUACUAUUAGUAGAGAUAGCACACCCAAUAACGUUAACAAUAACGAUCUAAACAACGACCUACAGCCCAGUCCUUGAUACAUGUAGGUGACACCUGCUGCACAUACAUGAGUACGUGAGUACUCCUGGAGUAUUUGAAGCUCCAGUUUAGCCUUGGUGGUGGUUGUAGUAAGUUAUUG